rnacentral:lncRNA from 1 species
UCAUCCUAGAUGUUCUUGCACAUGUACUAGAACCAAUUUUCCCCAAGAAAAACACCCCAAAAUGCUACCAAUCAUGAGAUCCAAAAAUUCACCCGAAAAUGCUCCAAAAAUAGGGAAAAAGAUAAAUUUCAGAUUGUGAGAAGGCGAAGCAAUUGAGCAUGAAAUUGAUCCUUGGAUUACCUCACCAUGUUCGGUUACAAGCCAAUCCUAAGCACAAGCAAAACUAGGAUAGCAAAAAGAUCAACACAAAGAUCCCUCCU